rnacentral:rRNA from 1 species
UAGGAAUAUUGGACAAUGGGGGCAACCCUGAUCCAGCCAUGCCGCGUGUGUGAAGAAGGCCUUAGGGUUGUAAAGCACUUUCAGCUGUGAAGAUAAUGACAGUAGCAGAAGAAGAAGCUCCGGCUAAAUUCGUGCCAGCAGCCGCGGUAAUACGAAUGGAGCGAGCGUUGUUCGGAAUCACUGGGCGUAAAGGGUGCGCAGGCGGUCAUGAAAGUUAGAAGUGAAAUCCCAGGGCUUAACCCUGGAAUGGCUUUUAAAACUCCAUGACUAGAGUAUUGGAGAGGUUGGCGGAAUUCCGAGUGUAGAGGUGAAAUUCGCAGAUAUUCGGAGGAACACCAAUGGCGUAGGCAGCCAACUGGACAAUUACUGACGCUCAUGCACGAAAGCGUGGGGAUCAAAC